CCAAAUUUCCAAGUAAAAGAAAAUUGAUACAACCUCUGCAAAAAAAAAAUUGAUUAGAAAAUAAGAAAAGAAAAAAAGUUACCAACCAUAAAUAUGAAAAAAAAAAUUAGAAAUAAUUAAGAAAAGAAUUCCUAAAAUCAUUUAGACAUCUGAGAUGGAAGAAUCUAAAUCAAUAAUUAUGAUAAAAUGAAGUGCCUGAUCAUACACUAUGUUUGGAUGAAGAAAUUUAAGAUUACUAAGGAAUUUUAAAAUGACGAAAAUUGAAAUGAAGGGAUUUUAUUUUCUAGAAUUUGUGAAUUUUGUUGUUUGGUUAACUUAAAAGAACAAUGGAAUUGAAAACGGAAUUUGUUAAUUUUAAACUCCCAAUCAUAGAACUUGGGAAAUGACACAUAUUUACAUGAAAUUUAAACUUGGAAAUUGGAGGCCCCAAAUUCCAAGUUUUUUUCCACAUGGAAAUUCUAAAUUUCUAUGUUAUAAAUCCAAAUAAGGGAAUUGGUACAUGUCAAUUUAUAAAUUCUGACUUUUAUCAAAAUUCCAAGUUUAUUUCCUUCAUCCAAACAUAGUGUAAAGUUCAAUGAAGAAUUCUCGAAAACCUAAAAAAUUCAAAUGUAGAAUUCUACAAAACAUGCAAAAUUUACUAAAAUCUAGAAAUUUGAAACAGAUGUUUACAUGCAAUAGAUCUAGAAGUUACCUGAUGUGAUGGAAUCCUUUGAGGCCAACCUUGAGGGCGCCGGUUGCAGAAUUGUCCAAAUCAUCACCACCCGCCACUGUGUACCAGUUAGUCACGGAGAGACAAUCACCACUACAAAAAAGACUAUCACUGGCGAAGUAGUUAAUGAGAGGGAAGAGAGAGAAAGAAGAAAGAAGAGUUUGAGGAAAGGGUUCGGUUUUGGUUGGUCUGUGGUUUGAGAGGUUUAAGGUGUGUUGCAAUGAGAAAGUGAAUAACGAGAGCGAACAGAGAAGAGGAAGGGAAAAAUAAAUAAAUUCAGAUAUUAAUUAUAAUUUGUAAGCAGAUAAAGCAGACUGAAAUAAAAAAAAAGAAAGAAAAACCAAAGCAAGGAAAAAACGGAAUCACACGAUAGAAUGAACAAUGUUUUAGUACAAAAUGGGUUUUAGUCAAGGAAGAAAAUAUCGGUAAUAUCGGAAAUAUCGGUAGUCCGAAAACACGGAAAUAUCGAUGGAA
rnacentral:lncRNA from 1 species